rnacentral:lncRNA from 1 species
GGGCUGGUAUCAGGAAGUAUUGCUAUUGAUGUUUCUUAUGAUCAUAAAGUAGUGUCAGUGGGAACACGAUAACAACUCAAAACCUAGCUGCAUAUCCCUGCAAGUCACAAGUAGAGGUAUUGUAAGUUUAUAGAUCAUGUCAGAGACAAGACUAUUCUCUCACAAGUAGGGAUGGAUUGUACAUGAAUGUGUGUGGAAUAACAAAUUACUGAUAAUAAAAAUGACCAUGCUCAGACCGGGCUUUACCUCAUUGUGCUAGAAAGGGUGUUACUCUUUCACAUGAGAUUCACAUGAAAAACCAUGUCAACAUACUACAUAGAUUCACGAUAAUCAGAAACUAUUUCAGUAUGGUGUUUUUUCUUAAGUUCCUCCAAUGUCUGUACCAGGUUGCAAGCAAACACUUCAUACAAAGGUACGGUCGCACCUAUGGCAAUCAAAAUAUCCAAAAAGUGUAAUGAUUUCACGAAAUAAAAUGCUCUAAAAAUAGAAAAAUGCAGAAGAGCAAUAUUCAACUAAAGUACUAAACAAAGUCCCCCUUUUAUCUUUUUCUCUCUUUUUUUCUGGAAUAGUUUUGCAGAAGUCUAUUUCAGCCAAAGUAGCAAAAAAAAAGGCUACUAAUAUAAGUACAAAACCUUACAUGCAUUGCAUGCUUAUAUUAAUAACCUUAUAACAUAACACUUGUUGGUAUUGCACUAUUGCUGCAUACAGGUUAGUUGCAAUUUUUUGCUAGCAACAACAGAAUAGAGUAAUCUAUCACUGUCAGCUGCAGGCCUGCAGCCAUCCAAAAAUUUGGAACAACAUGUCCUCCUGACCACCAAGUGAUACUCAUGGUCAGGUAGUCAGCAUUCACAUUUGUGGAUGAGCUGCCGUGCAAGUACCAUCAAUUCAAAUGACAGUUACAGGGCCAGACAAUGCUUGGUAUGGAUUGGAAUUUCCAUAGUUCGAAGUAUCCAAAUCAGCACCAUCUCGCGCAGAUUCAAAACAAAAUUCAUAGCCAGGAAACCUAGCUAAUUUGGCCAAAUGCAGCACGCACCAGAGAGCGUUGCGCAGCAGCGGCGCCAGCGAGUAGGGGAGCAAGGAACAAUCACCUGUCACAUUAGGCGAGCACCGGAGACGAAAGCGUCCGGGCAGCCGUACGCCGGCGGAGGCGCCGCCACCCGCCGCCUCGUCGCCUCGUCGGAGACGGCAGAUGCAAAACUAGAGAA